UGGGCUCUCAAAGUGGUUGUGAAAUGCAUUUCCGCUUUGCGCGGCAUAUCACAGCCAGCUUUGAUGAGCUUAG
rnacentral:pre_miRNA from 13 species